UUUAAACUGACUGAUUGCAGUUCAGGACACUGUAGGCUGACAUUGAAUAGUUACACUUAUGAUUUACUGAGUCAUGUGACUAAACAACAUAGCGCUGAUCACAGUGAAAUUUAUCUUUGGGAGAAACACCAACAAAACUACAUCUGGGUCUGGCUUUCUGGGAGAGGAGGAAAAGUGGGAUCGCUGGAGUACAGGAGGACAUUUGAAAGAGCAGUUGAGUGAGCUGUGGUUUCAGGUAUCUGAGUGAAGUGAAGGCCUGGUGGAGUCCUGCCAUGGCUGCUGUAAGGAGCCAUUACGCUCCUUCUCCUAUUCCCCUUUUGGCUUUAUGUGGUUUCGACUGGGCUAGUUUAACACAGCCUCUGGGUAUGGAGCCCCAUUUCCUCUUGCCCAGUAAAAUAGUAAUUACACUCUUUAAUGUUAAACGGUGAGUCUGUAUUCGUUCUCCAACUUUUGUGGUGUGGUUCUAAUGGAAGGAAUUGAAGGAUGGUGUUUAAAAGGGUCUCAUGUUCCCUUGGAUGGGUAUAAGUAUGUCAAGACUUUAUUGCCAUAUUUACACUAGUGUCACUAUGGAAUGAUUUUGGAUGACUUGGAUUCUGCAAUCCAAAUACUCAAAGAUGUUAUACAACACAGUGAUGCAGCA